AUUGAACGCUGGCGGCAGGCCUAAUACAUGCAAGUCGGGCGACCGGCGGACGCGUGAGGAAGGGAUGGGGACCUGCCUCAUGGCGGGGGAUGACGGCUGGAAACCGUAGCUAAUAGCUCAUACCUCUAGAUGACCCAAUAUGGUAUUAGCUAGUAGGUGGGGUAACGGCUUAUCUAGGCGACGAUCCCCAGCUGCUCUGAGAGGAUGAGCAGCCACACUGGGACUGAGACACGGCCCAGACUCCUACGGGAGGCAGCAGUGGGGAAUAUUGCACAAUGGGCGCAAGCCUGAUGCAGCCAUGCCGCGUGUAUGAAGAAGGCCUUCGGGUUGUAAAGUACUUUCAGUAGGGAGGCGUUACCCACAGAAGAAGCACCGGCGAACUCCGUGCCAGCAGCCGCGGUAAUAC
rnacentral:rRNA from 1 species